GGAGGGUUCAAGUAGAGUCAGGGAAGGUCCUAGGGGAGGUGGUCUCUGAACUCAAGGGCAGGUUGCCAAAGAGGAGGAGUUGGGAGAGCAUUGAUGACCGGCAGAGAAGUCAAUGCGCAGAGGUCAGAUGAGAGAGUGACAAGGAGGAAACAAGGCAGGCUGGAGCAGAGAGGACCACAGGAGCACCAUGUCAUGCUUCACCCAGAAAUCAGUCUUUGAGGACACCAUUCAUGUCAGAUUAAGAGCCGCUCUUCUCCAGUAUGAUCUCAUCUUAAUUUAGAUAAUGACGUCCACAACAAUCCAUUGCCAAGUAAAGUCACAUUCUCAGAGGGCAUGGCUGAGAACUGCUAUGAGUGCCUUUGGAAGGCCCAGGGGAACCCACGGUGGACGUCACGGCCAAAAGAUUACUGCCGAGGACUGCAUCUCAAGGAAUGGGCAAGGGGAAGACAGAAUCAGGCUAACUCAGCAAUGCCAGUGUCUCAAGCAUAAAAGGUAUUCGAGUAGAAUUUGGCAAAAAAAUGGAGAAAUGAAGAAGUUAGAUUUAAGACACUGAAAGUGGUGUGCAGCAGAAAGCUUUGUGGUGAUUUGUGUAUUCUCUUUUCUCCGUGAAACUUCUGCAGUGGAUAAACAAUGAUAGCAUCCAUAAAGAUGUAUCUUGUUUUAUAUAAGAAAAAAAGGAUUCCUGAAAAAUAUUAAAUAAA
rnacentral:lncRNA from 1 species